AUUGAACGCUGGCGGCAGGCCUAACACAUGCAAGUCGAACGAGUGGCGGACGGGUGAGCAAUGUAUGGGAAUCUGCCUGGUGGAGGGGGAUCACUACUGGACACGGUAGCUUAUACCGCAUCUAAUAGCAUGGGCCGAGAUGGGAUUAGCUAGUAGGUGGGGUAAAGGCUCACCAAGGCGACGAUCCCUAGCUGGUCUGAGAGGAUGACCAGUCACACUGGAACUGAGACACGGUCCAGACUCCUACGGGAGGCAGCAGUGGGGAAUAUUGGACAAUGGGCGCAAGCCUGAUGCAGCCAUGCCGCGUGUAUGAAGAAGGCCUUCGGGUUGUAAAGUACUUUCAGCGGGGAGGCGUUACCCGCAGAAGAAGCACCGGCUAACUCCGUGCCAGCAGCCGCGGUAAUUC
rnacentral:rRNA from 1 species